UGAAUGCUCUUGAACGAUUAAAAAGACGCCACUUCACAAAAACGACGCGGUUUGGAUUUUACCCUUCACCCAUUGUCCUAACAGUUGGCGUGAGAUAUUGGAUCUUUAGAAACCUUAUAAAGAACAGGCCAAUUUAAGUAGCAAAUUUAGAAACCUUACAAAGAUUGCAUGCGUUUGUUCAUUCUACUAUUUCAAUUAAUUAAUUGAGAAAAAAAAAUCAGGUUUAUCUACUAUAUGAAGCAAGCACUAAGCAAAGCUGGGCGAUAGGGUGAGGAAAAGAGAUGUAAUUAAGUUUGAGAAUUAAUGAGAUGCUGAUUUAUUUUAUUCCUUAAAGCUAUUCUACUAAUUUGUUAUUUGAAGUAUUAAGAAGGAUGAAGGGCAGAGAUUUUCAUGUGUUAUCAUCUACAGAAUCAGAUAGGCUUGCUUAGAGUAAAUUAUUUUAAUUUUUAAUGGUUCAUUUUUGGGUGUUAACAAUUUUGAUGUUGCUUCCAUUUUCGAUAGAGAGCGUCUUCAUAAGCAGGUUUUCACCUCUCAAAUUCAAAAUUUUAGUUCAUUUAUUUUCUCUUGGUUUCUCUGUCACCUGCAUUUAGUACUAGAGAUUUUUUUGUUUUCAACAUUUGAAUAUUUUAUAUCUAAGUAGCAAUCUUUAGUGAAAAGUUAAAACUCAAUUACCUUUAUUAAAUCAUGUUACGUUAACAGUCGAAAAGAUUAAGAAUAAUCGGUCAUUCAUAAUACAUAGCUUUCUCAUGUUUUAGCAUAAAAUUAAACAUGUCUCUUUUCAAAACAAACAUAGAAAUCUUAAUUAAUGACUGUGGUUUAGUACGUUAAGUUAACGUGUAAACAAGAAACAUUACACCAUAUUAUAUUUUUGAUGGGGUUUAUAUAAAAUAAAUGAAGGGAAUCAUAAUCCAAGAUCCACAAAUAAAAUUAACCAAAUGAAGAUAAAAACUUGAUUGAAGCUCUUAUCAUGCAUCGAUUGUAAUAUUGAGUAUUUAUUGGCAUUAUGUCAAGGCUCAUUGACUCUACCGUCAACUUUAGAUUAACCAGUGCAUAUACCAUGAUUUUGUGAGGCUCCAAGACAUUCAAAAACAUCUUGACUGCUCUAAGAUUCAGGUUUUAUAAUGAUUUUUAUUCAAGGUUAAUGAUUAGUUAUUCACUUGAUUGAUUUAGUAAUUAGUUAUUGUUUAAGUAAUUGAAUUGCUAUAAUUGAAAUUUUUACCUUGCUUCCUCAUAACAGUAGACAGUA
rnacentral:misc_RNA from 1 species